rnacentral:rRNA from 1 species
UAAGUCAGCCACGAAUAGGCUAUCCCAACUAACGGCGGGAAAGACUCCAUGGAGGGUGUAAGACCCGUGUGGGCGCGUGUCAAAGCUGUGUGGGCUCGGCCUCUAUUCCCUGAGAGUCGCGUUGCUUGAGCAUGCAGCGCUAAGCAGGUCGUAAACUCGAUCUAAGGCUAAAUAUCUCCACAGAACCGAUAGCGAACAAGUACCGUGAGGGAAAGUUGAAAAGCACUCUGGAGAGAGAGUCAAAAGACCGUGAAACCGCUCAGAGUAUAAGCCCAUGGCAGCUUGGAAGGCAUAUCGCUAGCGGGGCAUCGGUCUGCCUUCGCGGGGAGUCGGUGUUACCUUGCUUCUGUUGUGGCUCGUCAUGGUAGGGGGGUCAGGUCCACAUCCCGCCGUCGUGUGGGGGGUUCUUGGGUGUGUUGUGGUUUUCCUGUUGGCUUCGGCUUUCAGGGGGGCUCUUCGCGCUUGGUUCCUCUUUAGACACGGACGUUCAGACUCAGAGGCAAGACGCGAUAAACAGCCCACCACGGCACGUUGUGAGGUCACCCACAGGCUCGACUUUCGAUCGUGAACCUUGACGCCGAGCAAGCACAAUGCGUGUCGCUGAGGUUCCUAACCAGGCAAAUGCUGCCAGGAUCGUGGAACGACACGCGCUCAACAGUCAGGUUCGGGCGGAGACAGAGUUCUGGUACGAUCCUCUUGCGACGAGCCGGCUUCUGGCCAACAUCCGAUGCUCAGGUCUCCCGCAUGUGCCGCGGGAGAUCGCCUUGACGGUCUGGA